rnacentral:lncRNA from 10 species
UGCUCAGGUCCCCUUCCACACUGUGGAAACUUUGUUCUUUCGCUCUUUGCAAUAAAUCUUGCUACUGCUCACUCUUUGGGUCCACACUGCCUUUAUGAGCUGUAACACUCACUGUGAAGGUCUGCAGCUUCACUCUUGAGGCCAGCGAGACCACGAACCCACCGGGAGGAAGGAGCAACUCCAGACGUGCCGCCUAAAGAGCUGUAACACCGCGAAGGUCCGCAGCUUCACUCCUGAGCCAGCGAGACCACGAACCCACCAAAAAGAACAAACUCCGAACACAUCCGAACAUCAGAAGGAACAAACUCCAGACACGCCACUUUUAAGAACUGUAACACUCACUGUGAGGGUCCGCAGCUUCAUUCUUGAAGUCAGUGAGACCAAGAACCCACCAAUUCCGGACACAAUUCCAACUAGGCAAUGUCAAAACUAGUUACUCUUGGGAGUCCGAGGCAGGUGGAUCAUGAGGUUAAGAGUUCAAGACCAGCCUGGCAAAGAUGGUGAAACCCCGUAUCUACUAAAAAUACAAAAAUUAGCCAGGUAUGGUGGUGGGCGCCUGUAAUCCCAGCUACUCGGGAGGCUGAGGCAGAGAAUUGCUUAAAGCUGGGAGGCAGAGGUUGCAGUGAGCCGAGAUCGUGCCACUGCACUCUAGCCUGGGCGACAGAAGGAGACUCUGUCUCAAAAACAAACAAACAAACAAAAAACCUAGUUACUCGACAACAUACCUGCUGUAAGCCCUGGACACUCAGACAUGAAGUGGAGAGAAGUGACUUGGAAAAUUUAAAAAGUGCUAUUUUAUGGGACAAAUUCUUACUGAAUCCACCAGAAAGUGGUAGAUGUGGGUCUUGAACUCAGGUCUGUGUGACUUGAAGCACAGUGUUUUCCACUGUACCCCAUGAAGGCACCAAGUCUGUGUGUGGGCACAGAAGUUGUAGAAUCUACUAUGAGAAGUUGGAAAAGCACUAAAUACAAAUUUUGACAAUUUGACAAUUUGCCUCAGGCUGCUCUGGUUUCUGGAAACCAGUUAAUGAUGGGAUGAUGUGGUAGAAAAUAUUAAUGAGGAUAACUGGUACUACAAAACUCCCACAGACACUCAGACAUUGCCUCAAACUUUCCCUAGAAAUCUACAAAUUAUUGUGACUAUACGAAGCAGUACUUAUUUAUUAGCUGCUGAGGCUGGACUAACGGUGGCAAUUGCUUUGGGGAUUUCACUACCAGGAGACAGAGAAUCUCCACAUAGGAAACCUGAGGUUUGCAAUGGGGUUUGCUGCUGGAGCAAGAAACAUUUAUCUUCUAACAUGAGGAACAUCUGCAAGGUAUGCCAAAUUGCAGUGUUCACUGAAGACACGUAGAGGACGGUCAAUAAGGUGAAAAUUUCUCAUGACAAAAGGAAAUCAUCUUGUGCAAACCAAAAGUUUCUCAGUUUUGGUUACUGGCUAGAAUCCAGGAUUCUUAUGUAACUCUGGGAAACAACAAUGGACCCCCAAACAGGCUUUUCUAAGAGAAGUGGCUCCACUCAGCGGAGGACAAUACUCCUGAGAAUGAUGCAGACCUUCAGCAGCCAGGGGAUGAGAGCAGGAGUCUGGGGAAAGAGGACUGUGCUGAGCACCCACAGCAUCUGCCACAUGGAGAGGAUUCAGCGGGAGAGUACAUGAACCCCCUUCCAUUGCCUUGGCACAACGGAAGUCUCAUCCUUGGCAUUGAGCAACAACUCUCGGGAAAGAGGGAAGAUCCUAAGUCAGUAGAAAUUAAUUUUUUCCCAUCUUUGUUGAUAG